rnacentral:rRNA from 1 species
UAAUGCAUGCAAGUCGUACGGGAGCCGCUUUGGCGGUCGACCGUGGCGGACGGGUGAGUAACACGUGGGUAACCUGCCCCGGCGCGGGGGAUAACCGCGGGAAACCGUGGCUAAUACCCCAUGGGCUCGGUUGGGGGUGACCUGAUCGAGCAAAGGCGGAAGCCGUGCCGGGAGGGGCCUGCGGCCUAUCAGCUAGACGGUGGGGUAAUGGCCUACCGUGGCGAUGACGGGUAGCCGGCCUGAGAGGGCGACCGGCCACACUGGGACUGAGACACGGCCCAGACUCCUGCGGGAGGCAGCAGUGGGGAAUAUUGCGCAAUGGGCGGAAGCCUGACGCAGCGACGCCGCGUGGGGGAUGAAGGCCUUCGGGUUGUAAACCUCUUUUACCACUCACGAAGGCCCCUGGUUUUCUGGGGGUUGACGGUAGGUGGUGAAUAAGGACCGGCUAACUACGUGCCAGCAGCCGCGGUAAUACGCAGGGUGCGAGCGUUGUCCGGAAUUAUUGGGCGUAAAGAGCUCGUAGGCGGUCUGUCGCGUCUGCUGUGAAAACUCGGGGCUUAACCCCGAGCCUGCAGUGGGUACGGGCAGACUAGAGUGUGGUAGGGGAGACUGGAAUUCCUGGUGUAGCGGUGGAAUGCGCAGAUAUCAGGAGGAACACCGAUGGCGAAGGCAGGUCUCUGGGCCACAACUGACGCUGAGGAGCGAAAGCGUGGGGAGCGAACAGGAUUAGAUACCCUGGUAGUCCACGCCGUAAACGUUGGGCGCUAGGUGUGGGGCUCAUUCCACGAGUUCCGUGCCGCAGCUAACGCAUUAAGCGCCCCGCCUGGGGAGUACGGCCGCAAGGCUAAAACUCAAAGGAAUUGACGGGGGCCCGCACAAGCGGCGGAGCAUGCGGAUUAAUUCGAUGCAACGCGAAGAACCUUACCAGGGCUUGACAUAUACCGGAAACACCCAGAGAUGGGUGCCCCGCAAGGCCGGUAUACAGGUGGUGCAUGGUUGUCGUCAGCUCGUGUCGUGAGAUGUUGGGUUAAGUCCCGCAACGAGCGCAACCCUCGUUCUAUGUUGCCAGCACGUCAUGGUGGGGACUCAUAGAAGACUGCCGGGGUCAACUCGGAGGAAGGUGGGGAUGACGUCAAAUCAUCAUGCCCCUUAUGUCCUGGGCUUCACGCAUGCUACAAUGGCCAGUACAAAGGGCUGCGAUACCGUGAGGUGGAGCGAAUCCCAAAAAACUGGUCUCAGUUCGGAUUGGGGUCUGCAACUCGACCCCAUGAAGUCGGAGUCGCUAGUAAUCGCAGAUCAGCAACGCUGCGGUGAAUACGUUCCCGGGCCUUGUACACACCGCCCGUCAAGUCACGAAAGUCGGUAACACCCGAAGCCGGUGGCCCAACCCCUUUUUGGGGAGGGAGCCGUCGAAGGUGGGACCGGUGAUUGGGACUAAGUCGUAACAAGGUAGCCGUACCGGAAGG